rnacentral:rRNA from 1 species
UGGGGAAUAUUGCACAAUGGGGGAAACCCUGAUGCAGCGACGCCGCGUGAGCGAAGAAGGCUUUCGAGUCGUAAAGCUCUGUCCUAUGAGAAGAUAAUGACGGUAUCAUAGGAGGAAGCCCUGGCUAAAUACGUGCCAGCAGCCGCGGUAAUACGUAUGGGGCGAGCGUUGUCCGGAAUUAUUGGGCGUAAAGGGUACGUAGGCGGUUUUUUAAGUCAGGUGUCAAAGCGUGGAGCUUAACUCCAUUAAGCACUUGAAACUGAAAGACUUGAGUGAAGGAGAGGAAAGUGGAAUUCCUAGUGUAGCGGUGAAAUGCGUAGAUAUUAAAAAGAAUACCGGUGGCGAAGGCGACUUACUGGGCUCAUUCUGACGCUGAGGAACGAAAGCGUGGGUAGCAAACAGG